GAUGAACGCUGGCGGCGUGCCUAAUACAUGCAAGUCGAGCGAACAGACGAGGAGCUUGCUCCUCUGACGUUAGCGGCGGACGGGUGAGUAACACGUGGAUAACCUACCUAUAAGACUGGGAUAACUUCGGGAAACCGGAGCUAAUACCGGAUAAUAUAUUGAACCGCAUGGUUCAAUAGUGAAAGACGGUUUUGCUGUCACUUAUAGAUGGAUCCGCGCCGCAUUAGCUAGUUGGUAAGGUAACGGCUUACCAAGGCAACGAUGCGUAGCCGACCUGACAGGGUGAUCGGCCACACUGGAACUGAGACACGGUCCAGACUCCUACGGGAGGCAGCAGUAGGGAAUCUUCCGCAAUGGGCGAAAGCCUGACGGAGCAACGCCGCGUGAGUGAUGAAGGUCUUCGGAUCGUAAAACUCUGUUAUUAGGGAAGAACAAAUGUGUAAGUAACUAUGCACGUCUUGACGGUACCUAAUCAGAAAGCCACGGCUAACUACGUG
rnacentral:rRNA from 1 species